UUUCUCCUAGAAACAGGGGGAGAGAGUUAUCUGUGAAUAAAGGGCAAAGACGCCAAGGCAGAGAGUUAUCUACCGCUCAGAGCCAAAGAUGCCGUCACCUGAGGGAACCCACGGAGACACGCCUAGUGGCAGGGGACCGUUACAGUCACACUGGGGUGUCACGCUCCCUGAGCUACGCCUGCUCUGCAAACGAGGUAUGUCCAGGGACUACAGGAUCCCUACCUACCUGCUUCCCCCGCCCCCAGCUAAAUCCAGCCCCCGCCCCCCCCAUAUAAACGAGCAGGCUCAAGGGGGCCACCUGCAGGCCGUGGCACCCAUCUGCCAGCAAGGGCCUAUAUCCAAACUAGGAUGAACUCCAAAGCUUGGUGUCUCUUGCGGCUUAGACACCUCUUCACGUCCCCACCAUAACACCCCCCCUCCGUUCCCUCCAUUCCCGCCCCACCCCCCCACGGUGUGCAUUUGUGUGUAUGUGUGUAUAAAAGAGAAAAGACAGAGCUCCCUCCCCAGGUGCCUCGUAUCAAUAUGAAACUCUCAAAAUGCUGACUGCUGAGCCCACGGAGCUGAAGGCAGCGCUAGCAGGAGGCUUACAGGUGUGAACCCACCACCACCACCACCACCACCACCACCACCACCAACUCCUCCACCACCACCUCCUCCACCUCCACCACCAGAGGCUGCGGGCGCCCAGAGAGCUUUCGGGCUUGUCUGUUAAGAACCACACCAAAUCAAGAGAGGUCAGAAUCAGGAUUUGGGGCCUUCCCCUCCCCCACCCCAUAGGGAGAAGGCUAGAAGGAGAGACGGUGAGGGUGGGAUGGAGGGGCGUCCUGCCCUGGUCCAUAUGCCAGGGCCAGUGAAUGGAGGGUGCAGCGUGUCACAAGGAGGUGACGACAAAGAAGACGUGCCAGGGAAUCGCAGCAUGGACCUUGCAGAAGGGGAGUCGUCGGGAUUCGUGUUUAAACCAGAAAGACUAAUUUUGCCCUGUACCAAAGUCAGAAUCUCCCCUCUCCAUUUCCUGUUUAUGUAAGAAAGAGGAAUGAGAAUUUCAGAGCCUCUCUUGCUUAUCAUCCAAGUCGGGGAAAUCAAUUCAAGAAAUUGAGCGUGUGACCGAAAACCUCCUCCUAUGAUCCAUUCCAGUCUGAUGGGAUAAUGUUUGGUGGGAAAGGUGGUCCUGGGGAUCACCUGCACUCAUGCUGUAAAAAUAAUGCAGACACAGGGAAUGUGCUGAUCUAAGGAGAACUAUAGUCAGAACCGUGGCUGGUAACACUCCGUCUAAAAACAAGUGUGUAAGCACCGGCUGGCUUCCCGUCACGGGAAAGCAACUAAGAUGCUGCCUGGCUGAAGGCAACCACUGUCAGAUGUCACUGGCCUCUGAAAGGAAGGGGAUGGAAUGAGUGCCUCCCUGAGUAUGUGCCCCUGAGCUGUCUGAGGAUGCCCCUCGGUGCGUGGGGUGUGUGCUCGGCAAGAUGGCAGGAGGGAGGAGGUGGGGGCGGGGAGCACAUGCUUGGUCUUUCCUGCCUCCCGGAGGCCGAGCCCCCUUGGGCCGGUGGCCUCAGGGUCCACCUGUCCCCGCUCCGGGUCGGAAGGACCUCGAGGAAAGCGAGGGCUGCCCCCUCCACCUUCAAUUUGACAAGGUUCCUUUUCUCCCCUGGGAUAGACUGAAAUAAACUGUGGGUUCUGCUCCCAUCCCAGAAAACCAAGAGAAAUAGAUAAGCCUCUCAAGAGUUUUAAACCACCUUAGCCUGCAGAUCAAAACAUGCUCAAAAAACUAAGAAGUCCAUGCAUUUUAAAAAUGGGAGAAGAAACGGGUGGUGGUGGGGUGGGGUGGUGGUGGGGUGGGGGAGCAUAAGCAAAACUGAGAAAGCAAAAGGGACAAAUGAGAGAGAGGAAUGAGGAAAGGGACAAAGAGAGGAAGAGGGGACAGGGACAAGGGGACAGGAAUAAAGGAACAUCCAGCAGCAUUCCAUGCUAUAUUAGGGCAGAGGGAAAAGAUGGGAAAAGCAACUUGGUGGGCUCAAAACAGAAUCUUGUUAAAAUGUCCUCAAAUGUCAAAUAAAAUUAGAAACCCUGUGCAUGGAGCCAGGAGCCCUGAUUGGCUAGGAGCUUUUCGGGUGCUCCCCUCCCCCCUCCUGCCCUCAUCGCCGUGGAAGUUUCCAGGUCAGGGGGAUGAGUGGGGGCAUCUGAACACAGGACACAAAAACUGUGAAUGACAGGGUGACUGCUCCUUCUAAGAGGUGGCAGAGCAGGCGGCAGCUGGAACACACAUAUUUCCGAUGGGCCAGAGAAUGCCUCGUUUUGAAACUUUUUUUUUUAAAGCACAUUUUGUCUUGUUGAUUUAGCAUCAAGCCAGAUCCUGGCACAGUCAAGAGGAAAAAACUGAUGGAAAAAGGGACAAAACCCAUUCUCUGACUCUCCCCCACCUAGGCUCCUUCUCCCAUCAGGGGGUGGCCCCUGAAAAAUCCAUUUUUAGCUUCUUACAGAUUCAUUCUGAAAGGAACUUAAGAGUGUUUCCUGGUCCUGUUUGGGACUUACACUUACUUAAAGGAGCAGAAAAGCAUCUGCUGAAGCUUUCAGGGUAUGAAACAAUAUUCCCAACGGAGGAAAAAUGGUCACCGGGGAAGUUCUAAGGGCGCUGAGGCGGGAAAGAGGAAGGAAGGACCGCCCGCAUGCACCGUGGCGCUACUGCCGCGCCAGCCCCUCCAAGCUGCACUCUAGAAAGCCACGUUUAUGAGGCAGCCAUGAAGGUUUGCAGUUGUUUUUGUUGCGUAAAAACGUCAUGAGAAUUCUAGUUUCUGCAGAAAAAGCCACCCUCCAGUUUUCAGCAAGGUGCGCCUGGGUCUGAGAAGGGACUAGUCUGGUCAAUGUUAGUCAUGGCAAC